rnacentral:rRNA from 1 species
GAUGAACGCUGGCGGCGUGCCUAACACAUGCAAGUCGAACGGAAAGGCCCUGCUUUUGUGGGGUGCUCGAGUGGCGAACGGGUGAGUAACACGUGAGUAACCUGCCCUUGACUUUGGGAUAACUUCAGGAAACUGGGGCUAAUACCGGAUAGGAGCUCCUGCUGCAUGGUGGGGGUUGGAAAGUUUCGGCGGUUGGGGAUGGACUCGCGGCUUAUCAGCUUGUUGGUGGGGUAGUGGCUUACCAAGGCUUUGACGGGUAGCCGGCCUGAGAGGGUGACCGGCCACAUUGGGACUGAGAUACGGCCCAGACUCCUACGGGAGGCAGCAGUGGGGAAUAUUGCACAAUGGGCGGAAGCCUGAUGCAGCAACGCCGCGUGCGGGAUGACGGCCUUCGGGUUGUAAACCGCUUUCGCCUGUGACGAAGCGUGAGUGACGGUAAUGGGUAAAGAAGCACCGGCUAACUACGUG